rnacentral:rRNA from 1 species
GUUACUUCGGUACAUCGGUGACAGGUGGUGCAUGGUUGUCGUCAGCUCGUGUCGUGAGAUGUUGGGUUAAGUCCCGCAACGAGCGCAACCCUAUUGUUAGUUGCCAUCAUUCAGUUGGGCACUCUAGCGAGACUGCCGGUAAUAAACCGGAGGAAGGUGGGAUGACGUCAAAUCAUCAUGCCCCUUAUGACCUGGGCUACACACGUGCUACAAUGGUUGGUACAACGAGUUGCGAGUCGGUGACGGCGAGCUAAUCUCUUAAAGCCAAUCUCAGUUCGGAUUGUAGGCUGCAACUCGCCUACAUGAAGUCGGAAUCGCUAGUAAUCGCGGAUCAGCACGCCGCGGUGAAUACGUUCCCGGGCCUU